UCAGGCAAUUUUUCGUCUAAUGUAAUAGUAUGUGUGCACUAUUGACGUUUGUUUGUUGAUUUUGAAACCAGUUGAUAAUUUGCAAGUGAUAUGGAUGCUGAAAUUUUUAUUUCACUUCUUCAACAACUACCAGUGUUGUGGAACUAAUUCUGUGAUGCAAGUUUCUGCUCAAAAAGAAGCAAUGGUCACAGGUGCACGAUGUCAUCAUUUAGCAUAUUGCCACGGACUGUGUUAUUAACGGCAACAUCCCUUAUCUGAAAUAAUUAUUGAACGAGUUCGGGGAAGUCAAACAAAUCUUCAAUCGGUUCAUGGAGGGGCGGAUUUCGAGCGGCUUUAUCGAGCUGAAUGAGAAGUUUGACCUGACCGGCGACGCGAUCGACGACGAGACCAAGGCACUCCAGCCAAAACUGUCAGAUAUGUGCUCUGUGGUCUAAAUGUUCCAAUGCCCGACGCCAAAGCAUCGGUUCUGUCAGAACGAAAUUCCAGCUUAUCUGAUUCGGUCAUUCUUUGCCCCGGAUCCGCGUAUUGAUAGCUGUGAUGCGAAUUGGGUUCGAGAUGCUGCCCCUGCCCCAGGAUUACGUGCUCGAGGAAUUGCGGCAUAUGUUGAGCUCGUUCUUCGACGAGGAUCAGCGGAAGCAGCAAUGGAAUAGUGU